rnacentral:rRNA from 1 species
UACAGGGGGUGCAAACGUUGCUCGGAAUUAUUGGGCGUAAAGCGCGCGUAGGCGGCUACUUAAGUCGGAUGUGAAAGCCCUUGGCUCAACUGAGGAAGUGCACCCGAAACUGAGUAGCUGGAGUACGAAAGAGGGUCGCGGAAUUCCCGGUGUAGAGGUGAAAUUCGUAGAUAUCGGGAGGAACACCGGUGGCGAAGGCGACUUCCUGGCCUGUUCUUGACGCUGAGGCGCGAAAGCUAGGGUAGCAAACGGG